AUGGGUGGUGCCUCUGCUUCCUUCUUCUACCUCUUGCUGUUCCUCUGGGCUCAGGGUGCGGCUGCGACUGGCCUUGGCUUCACAAGAAGAGAUUUCCCACAGGAGUUCGUCUUUGGAGCUGGAACCUCGGCAUACCAAUAUGAGGGUGCUGUUGCUGAGGAUGGCAGGAGCCCAAGCAGUUGGGACACUUUCACUCAUGCAGGCAAAAUGCCAGACAAAAGCACGGGAGAUGUUGCUGCAGAUGGGUACCACAAAUACAUGGAGGAUGUCAAGCGCAUGUAUGAGACAGGCCUAGAGGCCUAUAGGUUCUCCAUCUCCUGGUCAAGGCUCAUUCCAAAUGGACGCGGAGCUGUCAAUCCCAAAGGGCUACAGUACUACAAUAACCUCAUUGACGAGCUAGUGAAUCAUGGAGUUCAAGUCCACAUCACACUCCACCAUCUAGAUCUCCCCCAGAUUCUUGAAGACGAGUACGGUGGAUGGUUAAGCCCCAAAAUUAUCGAAGAUUUCACAGCAUAUGCAGAUGUUUGCUUCAGGGAGUUUGGUGAUAGGGUUGCAUCUUGGACGACGGUGAAUGAGCCAAACAUUGGCAUAUUGGCCUCUUAUGAUGUUGCUACAUUCCCUCCUGGCCGUUGCUCAGAUCCAUUUGGAGCGACAAAGUGCACCGCUGGGGACUCUACUGUGGAACCAUACAUAGCAGCUCAUAAUACCCUUAUGGCUCAUGGAUCAGUUGUCAGUCUGUACAGAAAGAAAUAUCAAGCCAUGCAAAAAGGAGUUGUUGGCAUAAGUAUCUACUCUUUCUGGAGUUAUCCAUUGACAAAUUCCACUGUGGAUUUAGCUGCAACCCGGAGAUGUAAAGAUUUCUUCUUUGGCUGGAUACUAGAUCCAUUGGUGUUUGGGGACUACCCAGAAGUAAUGAAGAAGAUUGUUGGCUCUCGCCUUCCACCCUUCACGAAAGUUCAAUCUGAACUCAUCAAGGGUUCUUUAGAUUUUAUUGGAAUAAAUCACUACUACUCUCUCUACGUGAAUGAUCGCCCACUAGCAACAGGGGUUUGA
rnacentral:rRNA from 1 species